GAUGUGGAUGGAGUUUUAACUUGUGAUCCAAACAUUUACUGCGGAGCUCAACCUGUUCCACACCUGACAUUUGAUGAGGCAGCUGAACUUGCUUACUUUGGUGCCCAGGGAGUUAAUUCAACAGGAGCUUGAUCACGUGGUAGAGGAACUUGAGAAGAUAGCUAUUGUAAAUCUGCUUCAACACAGAUCAAUUAUCUCUCUCAUCGGAAAUGUUCAGAGAUCUUCAUUCAUAUUAGAGAAGGGCUUCCGGGUUCUGCAACCAAUGGGAUUAAUGUCCAGAUGAUCCCCCAAGGUGCAUCUAAGGUCAAACCUCUCUCAACUUCUUUGCCUAUAUAUGAUUCUAUACAAAAGGUUUAGGGGAUCUAAUUUUUACUUCUCGUAAUACACACUCGUCUGAAUAUUUGAUGAUAUCAUCAGGUAAACAUCUUAUUGAUAGUGUAUAAUGAUGACGCAGAGCAUUGUGUGAAGGUUCUUUCAUGUUUGUUGGAAAAUUA